GGGUCAGUGGUGGCGGAUCGAAAGUAGGGUCCGGAUCGGAUCGAAAUGCAUUAGGUUUGUGAAUCCGACCCGUUAAUCCAAAUCGAAACCUUCCUCGCCUUCAAAUUCCCAGAUCCCGUUCUUUGGUAUCGUCGCGGGACGAAGCAAGCACGAAAUCUUCUCAUCUCCAAUGGCAAAUGUCACCCUAGGAUGAGGUCUAGGAAGGAAAAGCCCGGAGCGCCGCCAUCAUGGAUUGAGCCAACAGAAGCGGCAAGAUAUAUCGAUACCGAUCAAUCUGGCAGCCUUGACACCAAGGAGCUGAAUGUCGCCAUGAGGUACUAAUAUCACGUGGCUUAACUGGGCCCUGGGGUUUGAAGUGACAGAAGACGUUGACUACGGAUAUUAAUUGUUUGAUGGCUGAAAUAGACAAUGAUAAGAGUGGGGCAAUUGAUUUUGAUGAAUUUCUUUACAUGAUGAAGGCCAAGAUUGGAGAAAGGGACAGCAAAAAACUUACGAGGGCUUUUCGCAUUAUUGACCAGGAUGGAUGGAGAUAUAGUCGAGGACUGGGACUGCAGCAUGCUACCAUACCCAUCGUGCAUUCUCUAUGCCGGUACAUCAUAUGCAUAGGGGCUUGCUGCAAAAAAGGGAAAAAUUAAUGAGAGCACAUGCUCCUUUAUGAAAUAUAGCAGUAAUGUUAUGAAAUUUCAUCACAAUUAUUGUUCUUAUCUUUCUCUAUCUGAUGAUAUCAAUCACUUUCCUUUAUUUGAAUGUUUUCUUAUCUUUUAAGGCUUAACUUUCUAUUCUUGCUGACAGUGUAAAAUGGAACUUUAUUGCUAUUUACUAAUAAGCCUUGUCUUGUUGAAGGAAGUAUAUAGGGAUAAUUGUAAAAGGUUGAACCAAGAAAAAGAGUGUUUAAGAAGUCAAAGGUGGUCCUUUUGAAAGGGGAACUUAAAACAGAGUAACUCCCAUAAAAACAGAUCAACUUAUCUUUCUAUAGGUGAUGAAGAUGUUGAUGCUGAGGAAUUCAUGAGGCUUAUGAGGAGCUGUGGGCAUUAGAAUUUAUCCUGUUGUAAAGUUUUUGAAUCCCCCCUUAUGAUCAUCUGAGUGAUUCAGUCCUUAGUGAAGCUUUCCAGUAUGCCACCAUCAUAUUGGUUACAAAGUUUUCAUAAUAUGUUUAUAUAUAUACAUAUACAUAUAUUUGUAAAGAAUAAA